rnacentral:lncRNA from 12 species
CUCCUGUGAGGCUCACCCUUUAGUUCUCCUUCUGGACUCUGGAGUCAAAGAGGGACUUUGCUGGCUCCCAAAACCAGGGUCCUACCUGGAAAACUCCUAUUCAACCUUCAGGACCCAGUCAGUGCCUCCUCCCUACCCCCGCCCAGUAAGAAGAGGUAACUUGUGCUGCAGCCUGCAUUUCCAGGGCCUCCAGCCUGGAAGGAGAAACACAGUUGAGCAAAGCUCCCUGGUUCCAGCCCCAGCCCCCCCCCCCCCCCCGCCGUGACUCUGGGAGUCUCAGCCGCCCUUCCAAAGCCUCCUUCUCUAGUUUUCCUCUGAGUCUCCAGAAGGUGUCAUCUGUGUGCUCCUGUGUGCAGCUGUCUAUCCCCUCGUGACAUUUGUCAGCUUCCUUGUCUGCUGAACGGGGGGCGGGCUGCCAGGUUGCGCAGCUCCCGUCAGCUGCUGCCAUCUGAGGCCACAGCGUGGAAGGCUGUGCUCCCUUUCCCGCCGUCCCAAGGCCUGAGUGCAGACAAUGAGAGUGCAAGGCUACGAGCAGCCUGUGGAUAGCUCACCCUCGCCUUGCCCUUCGUGCACCAGGACGACCCUGACCGCUUCCGUGGAACCUCCGCCUUCCUCCUCACACUUCCCAGAAGCAAGCACGGACGUUGCUCCCAAUCUACAGGCGGGGACCCCAGCACCGGCGGCGCUCAGAUGUUUGCUGGUCUUGGCUCCUCACCCUCCUCCCUGCUCAUCAGGCAAAUCCAGCCACAUAUGGAUUCGUUUUAAGGAUUAUCUGGGACCCCCUCCUCCUGACCAUCCCCUAGCUACAGACUUAAGAAGACCAGCUCCUCAGUCCAGACAUCAGCUAUGAUGCCUCAGGACUUGCUGCCCAACCCAGCCUCAGUCAAGACUCCAAAACCAGUUUCUACGUGCCUUCUGCUCUGCAGGCUCCCCUCCUGAGUCCAGCCAGACUUCUGUGGGCCCUGUCUACAAGUGUUUUCCAGGGUAAGCGUUCAUAUUUUCCUA